rnacentral:rRNA from 1 species
UACAGAGGGUGCAAGCGUUAAUCGGAAUUACUGGGCGUAAAGCGUGCGUAGACGGUUAUGUAAGUCGGGUGUGAAAGCCCCGGGCUCAACCUGGGAAUGCCAUUCGAGACUGCAUAGCUAGGGUGCGGAAGAGGGAAGCGGAAUUUCAGGUGUAGCGGUGAAAUGCGUAGAUAUCUGGAGGAACACCGGUGGCGAAGGCGGCAUCCUGGACCAAUUCUGACACUGAGGAGCGAAAGCCAGGGGAGCAAACGGG